AUUGAACGCUGGCGGCAGGCCUAACACAUGCAAGUCGAACGGUAACAGGAAGAAGCUUGCUUCUUUGCUGACGAGUGGCGGACGGGUGAGUCAUGUCUGGGAAACUGCCUGAUGGAGGGGGAUAACUACUGGAAACGGUAGCUAAUACCGCAUAAUGUCGCAAGACCAAAGAGGGGGACCUUCGGGCCUCCUGCCAUCGGCUGUGCCCAGAUGGGAUUAGCUAGUAGGUGGGGUAACGGCUCACCUAGGCGACGAUCCCUAGCUGGUCUGAGAGGAUGACCAGCCACACUGGAACUGAGACACGGUCCAGACUCCUACGGGAGGCAGCAGUGGGGAAUAUUGCACAAUGGGCGCAAGCCUGAUGCAGCUAUGCCGCGUGUAUGAAGAAGGCCUUCGGGUUGUAAAGUACUUUCAGCGGGGAGGAAGGGAGUAAAGUUAAUACCUUUGCUCAUUGACGUUACCCGCAGAAGAAGCACCGGCUAACUCCGUG
rnacentral:rRNA from 1 species